CCUACGGGGGACUGCAGUGGGGAAUAUUGCGCAAUGGGGGAAACCCUGAUGCAGCGACGCCGCGUGAGGGAAGAAGUAAUUCGGUAUGUAAAGCUCUAUCAGCAGGGAAGAAAAUGGCGGUACCUGAUUAAGAAACCCCGGCUAACUACGUGCCAGCAGCCGCGGUAAUACGUAGGGGGCAAGCGUUAUCCGGAUUUACUGGGUGUAAAGGGAGCGUAGACGGCAGUGCAAGUCUGGAGUGAAAGGCGGGGGCUCAACCCCCGGACUGCUCUGGAAACUGUACGGCUGGAGUGCAGGAGAGGUAAGUGGAAUUCCUAGUGUAGCGGUGAAAUGCGUAGAUAUUAGGAGGAACACCAGUGGCGAAGGCGGCUUACUGGACUGUAACUGACGUUGAGGCUCGAAAGCGUGGGGAGCAAACAGGAUUAGAUACCCCGGUAGUC
rnacentral:rRNA from 1 species